rnacentral:tRNA from 1 species
GGUGGGGUUCCCGAGCGGCCAAAGGGGGCAGACUGUAGUCUGCCGUCACGCGAACUCGGAAAGGUUCGAAUCCUUCCCCCACCU